rnacentral:rRNA from 1 species
UACAGAGGGUGCAAGCGUUAAUCGGAAUUACUGGGCGUAAAGCGUGCGUAGACGGUUAUCUAAGUCGGGUGUGAAAGCCCCGGGCUCAACCUGGGAAUUGCAUUCGAUACUGGAUAGCUAGAGUUCGGCAGAGGGAAGUGGAAUUUCCGGUGUAGCGGUGAAAUGCGUAGAUAUCGGAAGGAACAUCAGUGGCGAAAGCGACUUCCUGGACCAGAACUGACGUUCAGGCACGAAAGCGUGGGGAGCAAACAGG